GGGCCCGCACAAGCAGUGGAGCAUGUGGUUUAAUUCGAUGCAACGCGAAGAACCUUACCAGGCCUUGACAUCCUCGGAACUUUCCAGAAAUGGAUUGGUGCCUUCGGGAACCGAGUGACAGGUGCUGCAUGGCUGUCGUCAGCUCGUGUCGUGAGAUGUUGGGUUAAGUCCCGUAACGAGCGCAACCCUUGUCCUUAGUUGCCAGCAUUUAGUUGGGCACUCUAGAGAGACUGCCGGUGAUAAACCGGAGGAAGGUGUGGAUGACGUCAAGUCAUCAUGCCCCUUACAUCCUGGGCUACACACGUACUACAAUGCUACGGACAAAGGGCAGCAAGUUCGCGAGGACAAGCAAA
rnacentral:rRNA from 1 species